rnacentral:rRNA from 1 species
UACGUAGGGGGCAAGCGUUGUCCGGAUUUAUUGGGCGUAAAGAGCGUGUAGGCGGUUUGGUAGGUCCGUUGUGAAAAACUCGAGGCUCAACCUCGAGACGCCGGCGGAAACCAUCAGGCUAGAGUCCGGAAGAGGAGAGUGGAAUUCCUGGUGUAGCGGUGAAAUGCGCAGAUAUCAGGAAGAACACCCGUGGCUAAGGCGGCUCUCUAGUACGGUACUGACGCUGAGACGCGAAAGCGUGGGGAGCGAACAGG